rnacentral:rRNA from 1 species
AUUGAACGCUGGCGGCAGGCCUAACACAUGCAAGUCGAGCGGAUGAGUGGAGCUUGCUCCAUGAUUCAGCGGCGGACGGGUGAGUAAUGCCUAGGAAUCUGCCUAUUAGUGGGGGACAACGUUUCGAAAGGAACGCUAAUACCGCAUACGUCCUACGGGAGAAAGCAGGGGAUCUUCGGACCUCUCGCUAUCAGAUGAGC